rnacentral:rRNA from 1 species
UACAGAGGUCCCGAGCGUUGUUCGGAUUCACUGGGCGUAAAGGGCGCGUAGGCGGCUCAUGAAGGCUGUGGUGAAAGUCCGGGGCUCAACCUCGGAUCGGCCGUGGCGACUCGUGGGCUGGAGCACUGUAGAGGCGGGUGGAAUUCCGGGUGUAGCGGUGGAAUGCGUAGAGAUCCGGAAGAACACCAGUGGCGAAGGCGGCCCGCUGGGCAGUGGCUGACGCUGAAGCGCGACAGCGUGGGGGAGCAAACAGG